rnacentral:rRNA from 1 species
UCAGGAUGAACGCUAGCGGCAGGCUUAACACAUGCAGUCGAGGGGUACAGUCCCGCUUCGGCGGGAGCUGACGACGGCGCACGGGUGAGUAACGCGUAUGCAACUUUCCUGUAACUGGAGGAUAGCCCCUGGAAACGGGGAUUAAUACUGCGUAAUACCUAAAUACCGCAUGGUAUUAAGGUCAAAUCUACGGAGGUUACAGAUGGGCAUGCGUGCCAUUAGCUAGAUGGUAAGGUAACGGCUUACCAUGGCAAUGAUGGCUAGGGGUUCUGCAAGGAAGGCCCCCCACACUGGUACUGAGGCACGGACCAGACUCCUACGGGAGGCAGCAGUGAGGAAUAUUGGUCAAUGGAGGCAACUCUGAACCAGCCAAGCCGCGUGAAGGAAGACUGUCCUAUGGAUUGUAAACUUCUUUUGUGGCAGAAUAAACUACCGUACUUGUACGGUAUUGCAUGUAUGCCAUGAAUAAGCAUCGGCUAACUCCGUGCCAGCAGCCGCGGUAAUACGGAGGAUGCAGGCGUUAUCCGGAUUUAUUAGGUUUAAAGGGUGUUCAGGCUGCCUGGUAAGUCAGGGGUGAAAGUCGGUUGCUCAACGAUCGAAUUGCCUUUGAAACUGUCAGGCUCGAGUAUGGAUGCGGUAGGCGGAAUGUGUAGUGUAGCGGUGAAAUGCAUAGAUAUUACACAGAACACCGAUUGCGAAGGCAGCUUACCAAACCAGCACUGACGCUGAAGCACGAAAGCGUGGGGAGCGAACCAGGAUUAGAUACCCUGGUAGUCCACGCCGUAAACUUUGCUCACUCGCUGUUGGCGAUAGACAGUCAGCGGCCCAAGGGAAACCGAUAAGUGAGCCACCUGGGGAGUACGGCCGCAAUGUUGAAACUCACAGGAAUUGACGGGGGCCCGCACAAGCGGUGGAACAUGUGGUUUAAUUCGAUGAUACGCG